rnacentral:rRNA from 1 species
GACGAACGCUGGCGGCGUGCCUAAUACAUGCAAGUAGGACGCAGUUGCUAAUGGGUGAGUAACGUGUAGGUAACUACCUAUUAGAGGGGGAUAACCAUUGGAAACGAUAGCUAAUACCGCAUACUUGUAGAUGGACCUGCGUUGUAUUAGGUAGUAGGUAGGGUAAUGGGCUACCUGGGCAAAGAUACAUUGCCGACCUUGGAGGGUGAUCGGCCAAACUGGGACUGGGACACGGCCCAGAAUCCUUCGGGGGGGAACAGUAGGGAAUCUUCGGCAAUGGGGGGAACCCUGAACGAGCAACGCCGCGUGAGAGAAAAAGGUUUUCGGAUUGUAAAGCUCUGUUGUUAAGGGAGCGGUACUUAACCAGAAAGGGACGGCUAACUACGUGCCAGCAGCCGCGGUAAUAC